rnacentral:rRNA from 1 species
UGGGCAACCUGCCCUCAGCUCUGGGAUAACUCCAAGAAAUUGGGGCUAAUACCGGAUAUGACCGCUGACCGCAUGGUCUGGUGGUGGAAAGAUUUAUCGGCUGGGGAUGGGCCCGCGGCCUAUCAGCUUGUUGGUGGGGUAGUGGCCUACCAAGGCGACGACGGGUAGCCGGCCUGAGAGGGUGACCGGCCACACUGGGACUGAGACACGGCCCAGACCUCCUACGGGA